UGGGGAAUUUUGGACAAUGGGCGAAAGCCUGAUCCAGCAAUGCCGCGUGUGUGAAGAAGGCCUUCGGGUUGUAAAGCACUUUUGUCCGGAAAGAAAUCCUUGGCUCUAAUACAGUCGGGGGAUGACGGUACCGGAAGAAUAAGCACCGGCUAACUACGUGCCAGCAGCCGCGGUAAUACGUAGGGUGCAAGCGUUAAUCGGAAUUACUGGGCGUAAAGCGUGCGCAGGCGGUUUGCUAAGACCGAUGUGAAAUCCCCGGGCUCAACCUGGGAACUGCAUUGGUGACUGGCAGGCUAGAGUAUGGCAGAGGGGGGUAGAAUUCCACGUGUAGCAGUGAAAUGCGUAGAGAUGUGGAGGAAUACCGAUGGCGAAGGCAGCCCCCUGGGCCAAUACUGACGCUCAUGCACGAAAGCGUGGGGAGCAAACAGGAUUAGAUACCCUGGUAGUCCACGCCCUAAGCGAUGUCAACUAGUUGUUGGGGAUUCAUUUUCCUUAGUAACGUAGCUAACGCGUGAAGUUGACCGCCUGGGGAGUACGGUCGCAAGAUUAAAACUUAAAUGAAUUGACGGGGUCAUAGCUGUUUCCU
rnacentral:rRNA from 1 species